GAUGAACGCUGGCGGCGUGCCUAAUACAUGCAAGUCGAGCGAACAGACGAGGAGCUUGCUCCUCUGACGUUAGCGGCGGACGGGUGAGUAACACGUGGAUAACCUACCUAUAAGACUGGGAUAACUUCGUGGAACCGGAGCUAAUACCGGAUAAUAUAUUGAACCGCAUGGUUCAAUAGUGAAAGACGGUUUUGCUGUCACUUAUAGAUGGAUCCGCGCCGCAUUAGCUAGUUGGUAAGGUAACGGCUUACCAAGGCAACGAUGCGUAGCCGACCUGAGAGGGUGAUCGGCCACACUGGAACUGAGACACGGUCCAGACUCCUACGGGAGGCAGCAGUAGGGAAUCUUCCGCAAUGGGCGAAAGCCUGACGGAGCAACGCCGCGUGAGUGAUGAAGGUCUUCGGGUCGUAAAACUCUGUUAUUAGGGAAGAACAAAUGUGUAAGUAACUAUGCACGUCUUGACGGUACCUAAUCAGAAAGCCACGGCUAACUACGUG
rnacentral:rRNA from 1 species